rnacentral:misc_RNA from 1 species
GUAGGUGAACCUGCGGAGGGAUCAUUAACACGUAUCCAAACGUAACUAAACCAAACCCGCGCUCCUUUUUUGCCCAUGUCAGGAGGUGUAUAUGCAAGCCAUAAGAUAGAUUCAGCACCCCUUUACCGGGGGGUUGUCUACUUGCAGUACUAUGGUCUCUUCGAGGACCGAACCGAUCUGGUCAUGGUGUACUGAAAGCUAUCUGGUUAUCAGUGCCACCCCGGUAUCGACCCGGAGCCUGGUAGCCUUA